rnacentral:misc_RNA from 1 species
UCCGGCUUAUCACCGGCAGUUUCUCUAGAGUGCCCAACUAAAUGGUAGCAACUAGAGACGAGGGUUGCGCUCGUUGCGGGACUUAACCCAACAUCUCUGCAGGAUUUCCCGGCAUGUCAAACCCAGGUAAGGUUCUUCGCGUCGCUUCGAAUUAAGCAACAUGCUCCGCCGCUUGUGCGGGCCCCCGUCAAUUCCUUUGAGUUUUAGCCUUGCGGCCGUACUCCCCAGGCGGGGCGCUUAAUGCGUUAGCUACGGCACGGAAAACAAUGAAGCUCCCCACACCUAGCGCCCAACGUUUACGGCGUGGACUAC